rnacentral:lncRNA from 1 species
AUAAGGUUCACAUUUACGACACAUGCUUCUUGUUUAAUAUCAUGGAUGGUGUCAUCCCACCAGAGCUUAUCACACAUUUCUCUUCCUUGCAUCUGUUCACUAAGUAUGCAGACUGAUUCUCCAGUACCAAAUGUGUAUCCUGGUUUUGCUUCAAAUGUUCAUUCCCUAAAUUUAAACCCUUCUAUAGUGUGCAAGAAAAAAAUGUCCGCACCUCAGCUAAAAUGUGAGGUUGGAACAAAAAACUGCGAGGAUUUAAAAACGUGUGCUUGUUAGAAAAGCAGAAAUCUUCACAAACACUAGAUUUAUCCCUCCCCCUUUCCCCCCACCCGACAGGCCUUGGUGUGUGAUGUUCCCUUCCCUGUGUCCAUGUGUUCUCAUUGUUCAACUCCCAACUUAUGAGUGAGAACAUGCAGUGUUUGGUUUUCUGUUCCUGUGAUAGUUUGCUGAGAAUGAUGGU